AAUGAACGCUGGCGGCAGGCCUAACACAUGCAAGUCGAACGGAUCCUUCGGGAUUAGUGGCGCACGGGUGCGUAACGCGUGGGAAUCUGCCCUUGGGUUCGGAAUAACAGUUAGAAAUGACUGCUAAUACCGGAUGAUGUCUUCGGACCAAAGAUUUAUCGCCCAAGGAUGAGCCCGCGUAGGAUUAGGUAGUUGGUGGGGUAAUGGCCCACCAAGCCGACGAUCCUUAGCUGGUCUGAGAGGAUGAUCAGCCACACUGGGACUGAGACACGGCCCAGACUCCUACGGGAGGCAGCAGUGGGGAAUAUUGGACAAUAGGCGAAAGCCUGAUCCAGCAAUGCCGCGUGAGUGAUGAAGGCCUUAGGGUUGUAAAGCUCUUUUACCAGGGAUGAUAAUGACAGUACCUGGAGAAUAAGCUCCGGCUAACUCCGUGCCAGCCGCCGCAGUAA
rnacentral:rRNA from 1 species